GGGUAUUGGAUAUCGCCUGUGGUUCUCAUAUCUGUAAGUUAUUGCAGGGGCUGCAGAACAUUAGAGUGCUAAAAAAGAGUGACUUAGAGCUUUACGGUGCUGGAGGAGAGUUCAUCCAAGCAGAGGCUGUAAAGAUAUAUACGUUGAAGUUACCUUCUGAGAAGAUCUUAGAACUAGAAAACUGUUAUUAUAUACCUAAGAUCAUUAAAAAUAUUAUUUCUAUACCAUUGCUAUUGCAACAAGGUCAUGAAACAAAUGGAAAGAGCAAUAGUUGCUCAAAUUUUUUUUCUAAUAAAAUUCUUUGUCAUGGCAUUAUUAAUAAAGGUCUUCUGAUUCUAUCUAAUGACAAUAUUUUUCAUAUUGAUGAAAACAAAAA
rnacentral:lncRNA from 1 species